UGGAGGGAGGGAGAGGGAGGUACUUCAGCAGAGUUAGAAGCAGAAGGAGCUCAGGGAUGACAGCCGUGGCGGCCCCACAGAUUUUCUCUGCAUUAUCUUUCAUCAGUGUGGUUUAAAGUUCUUCCUUUGCAUCUUAUCUGCACAAUCCUUUCAGCAUAAUGACGAAGUGCUUUGAUCCGUUUUCAUUACACACAUUUUUAAAAGAAAAGCAACCAUGAUUUAAAAAAAGAUCACGAGCACUUGCUGACGUGCCAGCAGAUUAACUGGUAGUUUCCAAGUUUCCAUGUGCAUGUGAAAGAAAAGAGGUGUCUGGUCGUCUUGGGUUUACACCAAUUUGGAAAAUUAUCUUGAUUAGCCAAAUUUUAAAAAAAUGGAAAGUUUUCACAUAACUGUGUAAACUGUUUCAGGUUUCACUAGUUAUUUGAAAACUAGCAUCUCAUUUUGUAACACUGUGUGAUCAUGCAGAUUUGUAUAGUGAUUUAUAUAGAGGGACAAUACCACAUUAAGUGGACAUUAUGUUCCUCCUUAUUGAAUUGGAAACUUAUUCCUAUAAUAUUAUUCUAUUUUCACUUUAUAUAGAGAUAGUCCAACUUUAGAAAGUGAAUAAUCUUUAUUAUAUACUGCUGUGGAUCCAUGAAAUCCUAAUUCCUUUCUCUCCCCAUGGGGAAAGUCGUCAUUACUCACCAUUUGUCUUAAGUCAAGGAGCAUUAGUCUUCUAUAGAAGAAAGUUUUCACAAAGGUAGACGUGACAGUUUUGCUUUGUAUGUUUGUACCAUCCUUUAAAAAGUUCAUCUUUUACUUGUGCAAUGUAUAAGAGAGUUUAGAUUCUGGAAUAACCCAUUAUUUCCUGACUAUAAUAAGACUUAUUUUUCUUGAUACCACUCAAAAGCAUGUCAAGUAUCUUUUUGUUCUUACCAUGUCGUACAUCAUUAAAUCAUUCCUAUGAUAUUAUUUCCGCCCCACAUGUUAGUAAAAUACUUCUCUUUUUAUUUCUUUCAGUAUAUUGAACCAUUUUUCUUCAGUUAACUUGAACUUACAGCUCUUAUAUAUGAACACAUAAGGUAGUACACUCACUUUGUCCUUGACCUUCAGUGGCUCCCAUGGAUAGUAAACAUGAAUGCUGAUCCUGGGCACAGGAGCCAAAAUCUGAAGGUUAUUUGCUUGUGGAAUGCAGACAGCACAAACUCCUAGAACUCCUUCCAUGAGAUGGGUUCAAGGAGGUUUGGACAUCCUGGCUGAAGUCAUUGUAACACUAGACAGGGAUGAUGGCAUACACCUCUGUUUCCAAAUUUGGAAAGGUGCUUAGACCAGGUGUAUGGCUCAACCAACAGAAUAGAUGAUGUAAUCCCAGGAGGCAAGCUGUCAAAAUUUAAACAAAGCCUGUGCCUGACCCUUAAUCAGAAAAGUCACAUUAUAUUUGUAUACUUAAAGGAGAAAAUGCCUUUCUGUAAGUUAAAAUCACCCAGGCAACCCACCAACCAGUCUACCGUCCACAAAAUCUCUUUUCUUUGUGCAGAAUACAAUAUAAUGAAAAAGCAAGGCCAAAUGACCAAGAAGGGCAUCCUGAGAUUAGUAGAACUUUUAUUCUGACAUUUGCAGAAGUCAAGUCCUGUGCAGUCACAUGCCCAGGUACAUAAACUGCCAUGUAUGUAUUUGUUCUACAUGCCUAGGGAGCAGAUCAGUCUAGGAUAGAAAGUGACAUCCCUAAAUAAGGAAGGCAGAAGUUAUUUUAAAAUACACAGUCAUUUUCAACAAUUACUUACUUUCAUCAAGGACAGGAAAAUUUCAAAGAAAAUACUUGUGUGAAAAGUGGACACAGUAGUCAUUGCUAUAUGUAUAGCCUUGGCUGAAGUGUGAACAAGAUUGACAGGUGCAGCAGAUUUUUCCUCCAGUUUAUACUAGAAUCCCUGUCCUUUAUCCUCCCCCCAUCCUCAGUCCAUCUAAUUGUUUUUGUAACCAUUCAGUUCAAGUGUCACUCUUUUGUGUAUUUUUCCCCUGACCGUCCUAACUCCCUUUCACUUCCCCUUCUUCCUCUUGAUUUCUCUUGUACUGUUUGCCUCUGUCAUUAAAUCACUCUUUUCUCCACUGAAUCACAUAUUAGUGGUUCACCCCUUUUCCUAACAGGUUGUAAACUUUGUGAUGGCCAGGCAUCAUGUCUUAACACAUCUUUGGGCCCCUCAGCUCUUUUCUUCCAGCAUCUGGCAGAGAGCCUCCUAUGGCAGUCUCUUAAUAAACACCCGCAGAACGAAUGAACAAUUGAAUUUCCCUGCUGGCUUAGCUGUCCAUCUUGCAGAGUGGUAAUCUAGAUAGAUGUUUUUAAAUUUUUUAAUUAGAAUAUAGUUGAUUUAUAGCGUUGUGCCAAUUUCUGCUGAACAUCAAAGUGACCCAGUCAUAUAUAUAACACACACACACACACACACACACACACACACACACACUCCCUUUCUUAUAUUAUCUUUCCAUCGUGGUCUAUCCCAAGACACUGGACAUUGCUCCCUGUGAUACAUAGUAGGAUCUCAUUGCUUUCUAGAUAGAUUUUUACUUCCAGUUGCUGGGCAGGAGGAUGAAUCUCCUAUGCAUACUUUUAGUCAAUAAGUUUUGAAAUGGACACCAGUGCCGUGUAUUAUGUGUGUGCAUCCUUAGGACAGAUGGAUAAUAUAAAAACAGUUCACUUAAAGCUAUUGAAAAUAGUCAUGCCUGCAUACAGAGCAUUUUUAGGACUUUAGUUAGUGCCCUAAUUAGUUGAGGUAUAUUCAAAUAAUAGUUCUAAGACUCUCAUUAUUAAGAACAUCAUUCAUAGCAAUGCAAUCUUAAUAUCUUUUGCAGGUUACCAGAAUCAUUUUGCAACAGCCUAGAAAUGCUCAGAAAAAAUUUUUUGUAUCUGCAGAAUGUUGCUUGUUUCUUAUAUUAACCCUUAAAAAAAAUUUUAUUGGACUAUAGCUGACUCACAAUGUCGUUUUAGUUUCAGGUGUAGAGCAAAAGUGAAUCAGUUAUACAUAUAUCCAUUCUUUUUCAGAUUCUUUUCCCAUAUAAUUUUUUACAGCAUAUUGAGUAGAUAUCCCUGUGCUAUACAUGAUAUUAAUCUUAUAAGCAGUGUUUGUGGUUAGAUUUGCCAACUUUUUACAUUCAUUGAGAGUCUCUGAUAAACAGCUGAUUUCUCAGGAAGGGGUUUAUUAUUUGUUUGUUUGCUUGUUUGCGUCCAUCCAUGUAUCCUGUUCUUUAAUGCCGCUCACUGUGUCUUAGAAUUGAGGCACUAGGGAUGACAGUAAAGAAAUGGGUUUAACCAAACAACAUCAGAAUUUAGAUAUGCAAAUCCCUUUCAGGGUGAUCAUCCUGGGAGGUAAUGUCCUUGUAAAAAAAAAAAAAUGCUGCAUAGUUUAUAAUUCUUCCAGAAUAACUACAGGUAACAAAUCAACGGGAAGGGAAGUACAGAUAUUUUCCAUAUUCUCAGUGAGACCAAAGAUCGGCCUUCUAGUCUCACAUUCAUUUAUUAGUCUCAAGGAUUCACUGAAUGUUGAGUAUGUACCAGGUUCUGGUCUGGGCACUGGGUCCUGCACUCCUAGAGCUGACUUUAGUGACUUAGGGAGCUUUAGAGAGCAGAACCACCACCAGUACCUUAUCAUUGUGUAGUCUGUUGUUUGUUUGUUUGUUCGUUUGUUUUGUUUUGUUUUUGUAAGCUCGGUUGAGAUAGUGACUGCCUCUUUCUUUCUUCCAGAAAAAUAACUGCCUUUGGUAAUUGCUACUAUGGAAGUAAAAACUUUCUUUUCCCAGGCAUGGUCAUUAUCAUUACCACAAACUAUCACGGAUGAACCUUGUGCAUAUUAAUGAUCUCGUAACUUGAAAUGAAGAGUCUUUCUUUUGGCAUGAAUGUGGUUGUCAGGUCCCUUUACAACGGCCAUAACAUUAUCUUGGUACUUCUUAUAUCAUGCUAAAACAUUUUCAUGUCAUUUUAUCUUUAGGUAUCAGAUAGUCAACCAUCUACAAAAAUGUCUCUGUACUUUAGUAGUCUAACUGCAUGAUUUCUUUGUAAUAAAUUUUAUUAAAAGUUAAUAUCACAUCUCAAUUUUAAAACACAACCAUUAUAAUAUGCAACAUUGAUUUUAUAGACGGGGGAGUAGAAACGCAUUAAAUAAACCUUUAUUUAUGGUAAGAUGAAUCCUGAUUUCAGAAGAAUCAAUGCAUAAGACAUGUCUCCUCAUUCAGAAAAUAAGACAAAUUCAUCAGUGCCUCAAAACAUGAUGCGUUAAUGUUAGAAGUUGGUCUUUAUUGCCUUCCAUAUGUGGUGAUUGUUGUUGCUGUUGUUAUUUUAGUAACGUAUGCCAACAUUUACCACAACUGAUUACCCUCCUUUAGGAAUUCCUAAAUUCGUCUAAAUCAAACAAGGUAUUGUAUCUGUAUUUAACUGAGGUUUGCUGACAGGACAUUUUAAUUUUAUAUGCUUUUAUUCUAAAAUCUCCACAAUUGUCCCAACUAAGGAUAAUUUUAAGAAUUAAUUUCAGAAGACAGUUUAAAUCAACCAUAGGUAAACAUUAUUUUGUACUCAAGACAGCCUGGAGAAUUUUAAGAAUGGAUAUAUUCUACCAUAUCUGGAGUUUUCUCCCUCACAUUCCAGAUUUCAUUCAUGUGGACCCCCUCCCCCCAAAUUCCAGUCUUGUAAUAUGAGACCAAGACCAAGUUCUUUCUCCACUUUCCAGGCAUUCGUCUCUGGGAACUUCAGUGCUGAAAGAAUUAUUUUUAUGACUUUACAAAUGCUAUUUUCCCAUGACUUAAAGACACCUAAAUUCCUACUUUGAUUAAUUCCCCUCCUACGUAGCUAGGGAAGACAGCUCUGUGGCUUUCAGUCUGUGGUGUCAUGUAGGCUGUAUUCUAAAGUGCCAAAAGCGAAUGUUUAAAUUGCGGUCACUUUUAAGUAUAAAACAAUGUAACUUACAUACUGUAUUUUUUGUUUUGUUUGAGAAUGUUCCUCGAAUGAUGCCAUGGCUUUAUAUAUGUGGUGAUGGAUUAGGCACAACCAGAAGGAUUUGGAUACUCAGUUUCCCUUCUAGCAGUAGAACCUGUUUUUCCCUGGUGAAUAAGAAUGAUUAAAUCUUUCAUUCUCAUCCAACUCAACCAAAUUCAACCACACAAAUUUUCAAGAAUUUCAGGUCAGAACCCAACAUCCUAACUACGUUUCCCAAUCUAAAGGGAUGACAAGACCAAAGCUACUUUUAAAAGAAGGGAAACAGUAAAUAUUGUCCCUUAUCAACUGUAUUUUCUAACACUUCAGUAAAUUCGAAGACAUAUGUACAAUAAUGCAUAUAUUGCCCAUUGAGAAGUAAUGGCUGUUUGGAGGUAAUGUCGGAUUGUCUAGAGUAAUAUGUAUAUAAUUUGCUUUUUAGGGCCUCACUCACGGCAUACAGAGGUUCCCAGGCUAGGGGUCAAGUCAGAGCUGUAGCCUCUGGGCCACGCUACAGCCACAGCAACCAGGGAUCUGAGCCGUGUCUGCAACCUACACCACAGCUCAUGGCAAUGCUGGAUCCUUAACCCACUGAGCGAGACCGGGGAUCAAACCGCAACCUCAUGGUUACUGGUCAGAUUUGUUUCUGCUGUGCUACGAUGGGAACUCCUAGAGUAUUAUAUUUAUGAUACUUUGAAGCACUGUCUUAGUACAUGGUGACUUCGUAGUCUAAAAUAGUUGUGCGUAUCCCACAAAGUGUCUUGAAACUUAGCGAAUUUUUAAACUACUCACCC